rnacentral:rRNA from 1 species
UAGCUGGUCUGAGAGGAUGAUCAGCCACACUGGGACUGAGACACGGCCCAGACUCCUACGGGAGGCAGCAGUGGGGAAUUUUGGACAAUGGGCGCAAGCCUGAUCCAGCCAUGCCGCGUGAGUGAAGAAGGCCUUCGGGUUGUAAAGCUCUUUCGGCCGGAACGAAAUCGUCCGGGCUAAUACCCCGGAUGGAUGACGGUACCGGAAGAAGAACACCGGCUAACUACGUGCCAGCAGCCGCGGUAAUACGUAGGGUGCAGGCGUUAAUCGGAAUUACUGGGCGUAAAGCGUGCGCAGGCGGCUUCCUAAGUCAGAUGUGAA